rnacentral:rRNA from 1 species
GAUGAACCCUGGCUACAGGCUUAACACAUGCAAGUCGAGGGGCAGCAUUUCAGUUUGCUUGCAAACUGGAGAUGGCGACCGGCGCACGGGUGAGUAACACGUAUCCAACCUGCCGAUAACUCGGGGAUAGCCUUUCGAAAGAAAGAUUAAUACCCGAUAGUAUAAUGAAACCGCAUGGUCUUAUUAUUAAAGAAUUUCGGUUAUCGAUGGGGAUGCGUUCCAUUAGGCAGUUGGUGAGGUAACGGCUCACCAAACCUUCGAUGGAUAGGGGUUCUGAGAGGAAGGUCCCCCACAUUGGAACUGAGACACGGUCCAAACUCCUACGGGAGGCAGCAGUGAGGAAUAUUGGUCAAUGGGCGCAGGCCUGAACCAGCCAAGUAGCGUGAAGGAUGACUGCCCUAUGGGUUGUAAACUUCUUUUAUAUGGGAAUAAAGUUUUCCACGUGUGGAAUUUUGUAUGUACCAUAUGAAUAAGGAUCGGCUAACUCCGUGCCAGCAGCCGCGGUAAUACGGAGGAUCCGAGCGUUAUCCGGAUUUAUUGGGUUUAAAGGGAGCGUAGGUGGACAGUUAAGUCAGUUGUGAAAGUUUGCGGCUCAACCGUAAAAUUGCAGUUGAUACUGGCUGUCUUGAGUACAGUAGAGGUGGGCGGAAUUCGUGGUGUAGCGGUGAAAUGCUUAGAUAUCACG